CCAGACUCCUACGGGAGGCAGCAGUGGGGAAUAUUGCACAAUGGGGGGAAACCCUGAUGCAGCGACGCCGCGUGAGUGAAGAAGUAUUUCGGUAUGUAAAGCUCUAUCAGCAAGGAAGAAAAUGACGGUACCUGAUUAAGAAGCCCCGGCUAACUACGUGCCAGCAGCCGCGGUAAUACGUAGGGGGCAAGCGUUAUCCGGAUUUACUGGGUGUAAAGGGAGCGUAGACGGCAGCACAAGUCUGGAGUGAAAUGCCGGGGCUUAACCCCGGAACUGCUUUGGAAACUGUGCAGCUAGAGUGCAGGAGAGGUAAGUGGAAUCCCUAGUGUAGCGGUGAAAUGCGUAGAUAUUAGGAGGAACACCAGUGGCGAAGGCGGCUUACUGGACUGUAACUGACGUUGAGGCUCGAAAGCGUGGGGAGCAAAC
rnacentral:rRNA from 1 species